GGAAAAGGAAAAUGGUGGCCAGUGAAGACAGGCGACUUCGGUAGACAAGAGACACCAAACACCUUAUCUCUGUCUCGAUCAGCAUCACUUGCUGAGUGGUAGUGGCUAAAAAAGAAGCGCAGCCAUGGUAGAUGCCGCAAUGAUCAAGAAAACUGCUGUUACCGUUUUGAGUUGCGUGGAGAAGGUGUCCUCCUUUACCUCCUCCAUUGACCCGCUUUUCGGUAUAGUCACAUCCCUUUUGGCUAAAGUAAAAAAAACAUAAUAAAUAUAUUUCUUUUAAAUGUAAGAUAGGAUACAAAUAAUUAUGGUGUUUAAGAACUUAUUUGUCACAGUUUUUAACUAUUUAAUUAUUUGUCUUUAUGUGACAGGAAUACAUUAACAUCUUAAACCGGGGGUGUCCAAGCAGUAGCUUGCCAGCUGAUGUCGAGUAGAUCACUAAAAAGUCAACAAUAUUUACUUAAACUCUCAGUAUUUUUACAACUGUUCACUUCAGACAUAUUUAAUGACAAAUAACCACAAAGUAGCAUAAAGACAAUGGCCACAUUGUUUGAAUGAAAAUCAGCUUCUUAAAUUAAGCAAAAUCUAAAUGUCAAUCAUAUAAAUAAAAUAACAUUUCUAAUAGAAAAUGUGAGUUGUGGAUAUCAGAAUUGUGUUAAUGCUCUGGUGAAACAAGUGUCUUCUCUUAAUUUGAGUUAAAAUAAGUUAUGAAAAUAAAUGUUACAAAAAUGAGUAGCUCUCUACCAUUAUUUAUUAAAAGCAGCUCUCAGUUAGGCCUGGGUCGAUAUUCGAUUACGGUAAUCAAUUAACUGAACGAUAAAUUAAAAAGUUGGCCUCUUUUCCAGCAUCAAUAUGGUAGGUAGGUAGGUCUUUGUUUUCAGCACAAACCCGUUCAAGAUUAGACAAACACAAGUGUACAGGGUUACAGAACAGGAACGCUGAUGGGUCGAGGUAAAAGAUGGGAUAAAGGUAAACGCUGGGGAACGAUGAGUAAAAAAAUACAAUCUAUACUGGGCUCCUAAGGGGGCUCAGUCUGGAGUGGGAAAAAACCUCCAUAGCAAAGCACAUAUACAUAUUACAACAUACAUCUCGAGACUAGCAACAGAGGGGAGGGAGUGGGGGCCACGGUGGCAGGCUGCAGCUCUUCAGGCGCUGCCCAGCCGUCCAUCACCCCUAAGGGAUUUGCGUCAAAGGCGUUAGAUGGGGGGUGGGGUAUGUGUGUGUGGCGUAUAUUUUUUGUGGAUACAUGUGUAUGUGUAAGCCUGCCUGCCGCAUGUCUCUAUUCCGCGGCCUUGGUGUUGUGUAGUCGCUAGUCAGUCCAAAGUCAACAACAACAGGUGUGUGUCCAUGAGAGACAAGAAGGGAGUUUGUUGUGUCUUCGCCGCACUGUCCUUCAGGAGAGUCUCGAAGCCAGGGAAACAAUCCAAGUUAGAAUGUUUUGUAUGCCAGUGAAAAUAAAAUGUGCUUUUCACUCUAAAUUGUCUAUGACUGGUCCUCAAAAUUAAUCCUGCGGGGCAGACAGUCCAAUGUUAUCCAAAUCACAAGAGUGUCCACAGUUCUUUCCGCAUCCUCCAAUCAUUUGUGGCAGCUUUGGGGUACUUUGAAGACUGCCAGCAACUUCCAAUUUGUCGACAAACCAGAGCCAUGCUUACUCCAAUCAGCAGAUAACCGCCAUAUGCAUGCGUUGCUACAGGUUCCAAGAGUGGUCACUCCUUUGCAUAGGUUUCGGCAGCUGUAGGCUUUUGUACUACAUGCACAUAAAAUGUAAUAAUGGUAACCGCUGUAAAUCUCCCGACGGUUAGUUUUACUGUAAUAAAUUACAAUGAUCAAAAAACUGUGAUUGAUAACUGCACUUUGAUAAACUUAUCGAAGGACUAGCAGUAGCUUGCUAGCUAAUGGGAACAUGAAGACAAGAGACAUGAUUAACGUCUUUAUCCAUUAGGAAACGUCAUACCCCAAUCUAAACUUGUAUAAAGACAUUACUGUCUAAACAACUAAAAUACAGUAUUCACUUUGAACAUAAAGGCUGCAGGUUCCAAGAGCGGUCACUCUUUUGCAUAGGUUUCAGCAGCUGUAGGCUUUUGUACUACAUGCACAUAAAAUGUAAUAAUGAUAACCGCUGUAAAUCUCCCGACGGUUAGUUUUACUGUAAUAAAUUACAAUGAUCAAAAAACUGUAAUUGAUAACUGCACUUUGAUACACUUAUCGAAGGACUAGCAGUAUCUUGCUAGCUAGAAUAAAUGGGAACAUGAAGACAAGAGACAUGAUUAACGUCUUUAUCCAUUAGGAAACGUCAUACCCCAAUCUAAACUUGUAUAAAGACAUUACUGUCUAAACAACUAAAAUACAGUAUUCACUUUGAACAUAAAGGCUGCGCUGUCUUUUCACAAACUGAUCGAUAUAGACUCCACAGUGUCGAGUUGAAACAGACGGAGGUCCGUUCAACUGGAAGUGAACUCGCAUCACAUAAACCGAAAGUGUAAAACAAAUGUUGACAAAUUAAAAUGGAAGAAGAUAAACAUAUUUAAACACACAAAUUAAAAUACUAUGAGUGGCGACUUGUCCAGGGUGUACCCCGCCUUCCGCCCGAGUGCAGCUGGGAUAGGCUCCAGCACCCCCCGUGAUCCCGAGAGGGACAAGCAGUAGGAAAUGGAUGGAUGGAUGGGCUCUUAUGAAGCCACAGCAAUUGUUGAUGUUUCCUCUGCCAAGAAAGAAUAUUGUGUCUAUUUAUUUUGGUUAUCUAAAAAAAAUACAACUGGUUAAAAUAGUUUAAUAUUUUAAUGCACUUUUUUAACACAUUCAACAAUUCCAGGAGAAUAAUGGUAACAAUCAUUUUAUUUUAGCCAUUUUAUUUAUUGUUUUGGUUUUGUGUAUUUAAGGGUCCCACAGCCAGUCCUUAACAGAGACAGAACCUAUUUUGUUGCUUUUGGUUGUCAUUUUUAUGAAAGUGCAACAUUCUGCUAACAGAGUAUAUUUUAUUUGUAUUAUGUGUUUGUUUCAAAAGUUUACCUUCCAAUUACAAUGUUGAGAUAUACCUUGAAAUACAAGUUUAUUGCAUUUGAAAGUGUAUACUUUUAUUAUUAUGAUGUAAUAUUACAUCAGUGGUUAAUUUGAUCUUAAAACAAUGUUGAAAAUAAUCUUGUUUAUCUGCAAUUAUUUUGUAGGUCAACAUACCGUCAAACAAAAUUUGCUAUCGGCCCAGGCCUACUCUCAGUAGAUCAAUGGCGUUCAUCACGUCUUCUUAAAAUAUAGGUACAAGAUUCUUAUGUGCAGACAAAAUGUUUUUUGAGCAAGUGAAACUGACAGGUUUGUGGCGCAGCUGUUUUUAGACACGUCACACAAGGAAGGACAAUUCUAACGAAGGCUUAAGUGUCAGCCAAAACUGUACACAAGUAUGAGACAUCGCAUACUCAAAAAACUUAAUUUUUUCGCACCUUUUUGUACCUAAGUAGCUCCCAGAUGGUUCGAGAUGCAUGCCUUAAGGGUUUUGAUAAAAUAUCUGCAUUGGCUAAAAACCUGUGCACCUGUGUGUAUUAGUGACAAAGAUUUAUUGAAGAAUCUG